CACAUGCAAGUCGAACGGCAGCGCGGGCUUCGGCCUGGCGGCGAGUGGCGAACGGGUGAGUAAUAUAUCGGAACGUACCCAGAAGUGGGGGAUAACGUAGCGAAAGUUACGCUAAUACCGCAUACGAUCUACGGAUGAAAGCAGGGGACCUUCGGGCCUUGUGCUUUUGGAGCGGCCGAUACCUGAUUAGCUAGUUGGUGAGGUAAGAGCUCACCAAGGCGACGAUCAGUAGCUGGUCUGAGAGGACGACCAGCCACACUGGAACUGAGACACGGUCCAGACUCCUACGGGAGGCAGCAGUGGGGAAUUUUGGACAAUGGGGGCAACCCUGAUCCAGCAAUGCCGCGUGAGUGAAGAAGGCCUUCGGGUUGUAAAGCUCUUUUGUCAGGGAAGAAAAGGCGGUGGCUAAUAUCCAUCGCUGCUGACGGUACCUGAAGAAUAAGCACCGGCUAACUACGUGCCAGCAGCCGCGGUAAUACGUAGGGUGCAAGCGUUAAUCGGAAUUACCGGGCGUAAAGCGUGCGCAGGCGGUUUCGUAAGUCUGAUGUGAAAUCCCCGGGCUCAACCUGGGAAUUGCAUUGGAGACUGCGAGGCUAGAAUCCGGGCGUAAGCGUGCGCAGGCGGUUUCGUAAGUCUGAUGUGAAAUCCCCGGGCUCAACCUGGGAAUUGCAUUGGAGACUGCGAGGCUAGAAUCUGGCAGAGGGGGGUAGAAUUCCACGUGUAGCAGUGAAAUGCGUAGAGAUGUGGAGGAACACCGAUGGCGAAGGCAGCCCCCUGGGUCAAGAUUGACGCUCAUGCACGAAAGCGUGGGGAGCAAACAGGAUUAGAUACCCUGGUAGUCCACGCCCUAAACGAUGUCUACUAGUUGUCGGGUUUUAAUUAACUUGGUAACGCAGCUAACGCGUGAAGUAGACCGCCUGGGGAGUACGGUCGCAAGAUUAAAACUCAAAGGAAUUGACGGGGACCCGCACAAGCGGUGGAUGAUGUGGAUUAAUUCGAUGCAACGCGAAAAACCUUACCUACCCUUGACAUGUCAGGAAGUCCGGAGAGAGCUGGAUGUGCCCGAAAGGGAGCCUGAACACAGGUGCUGCAUGGCUGUCGUCAGCUCGUGUCGUGAGUGAUUAAUUCGAUGCAACGCGAAAAACCUUACCUACCCUUGACAUGUCAGGAAGUCCGGAGAGAGCUGGAUGUGCCCGAAAGGGAGCCUGAACACAGGUGCUGCAUGGCUGUCGUCAGCUCGUGUCGUGAGAUGUUGGGUUAAGUCCCGCAACGAGCGCAACCCUUGUCAUUAGUUGCUACGCAAGAGCACUCUAAUGAGACUGCCGGUGACAAACCGGAGGAAGGUGGGGAUGACGUCAAGUCCUCAUGGCCCUUAUGGGUAGGGCUUCACACGUCAUACAAUGGUACAUACAGAGGGCCGCCAACCCGCGAGGGGGAGCUAAUCCCAGAAAGUGUAUCGUAGUCCGGAUCGUAGUCUGCAACUCGACUACGUGAAGUUGGAAUCGCUAGUAAUCGCGGAUCAGCAUGCCGCGGUGAAUACGUUCCCGGGUCUUGUACACACCGCCCGUCACACCAUGGGAGCGGGUUUUACCAGAAGUAGGUAGCUUAACCGUAAGGAGGGCGCUUACCGCGGUAGGAUUCGUGACUGGGGUGAAGUC
rnacentral:rRNA from 1 species